rnacentral:rRNA from 1 species
UAAUACGGAGGGUGCGAGCGUUAAUCGGAAUUACUGGGCGUAAAGGGCGCGUAGGCGGUGAAGUAAGUCGGGUGUGAAAGCCCCGGGCUCAACCUGGGAACUGCAUCCGAUACUGCUUCGCUAGAGUAUGGUAGAGGGAAGCGGAAUUCCGGGUGUAGCGGUGAAAUGCGUAGAUAUCCGGAGGAACACCAGUGGCGAAGGCGGCUUCCUGGACCAAUACUGACGCUGAGGCGCGAAAGCGUGGGGAUCAAACAGGAUUAGAUACCCUGGUAGUCCACGCCCUAAACGAUGAGAACUAGCCGUUGGAGGAAAUUAGUCCUUUAGUGGCGCAGCUAACGCGAUAAGUUCUCCGCCUGGGGAGUACGGCCGCAAGGUUA